AUGGUCAAGAUGGUGCUGUGGACAUGCUGGCUGGUUGUGCCAUACUAUUUAUCAAAAAAUAGUAACCUGUUAAGCGUAUUUAAGCAGACACUUUCUAUAGCACUAAUGUGCAAGAAACAUACUGUUGUACCGGGAGAGUGGUCAUUACCAAUUGUGGUGGCUUUGUCUAGCAAUAAUUUAUCAGACACUCUUGUUGUGCUGGGAGAAUCACCGCUUGUUGUUGUACUUAAUCUGCUCAACAAGUUAUGCCCUAUGGCAUUUGGCCUGCUGUAUGCUUUCUUUUUCCUUGGGCUGGUUGCCCACUUAGCCCUCUGCUGA
rnacentral:rRNA from 1 species